ACGGCGGCAGGUAGUCGGCGUGGACCGUUGCUGCCCGCAGACGCCAGGGAAGGAAGAAGGGUCUUUGAGGCUCCGAGCCACCGAGACCCCAGCUCCCCUUAGCCGACUGGCCCCCCACUAAUCUACGCGUCGAGGUCCGCGUGCCCCUCGUCUGGGAAAAGCUGAAGUGCGGACGCCUGAAAGAACCGCUGCUGGGCAUGGGACCUUUGAAGAAUAUGCAGAAUGUGGAAAUACCACACCUCUGAGGACAGCAAUGCUUGGCUCCUUGCCUAAGGAGAGAAGCAGCCCUUCACAGAGGUGUUGGAUGAACAGCAGCUUAGUUACUUGACUCUGAGCAAAAGGAAGAAGAGUCAGUAAGCUGUCGCUAUCUCAAAGAUGCCGUCCUGCCACCCCCCCCCACCCCGUGAAGCCCUCUGUGACCCACCACACAGAAAGUGGGCGGUCCCUCCUGCGUGCAGACGCACAGCAAGCCCACCACCCUAGAAGCCCUCAGCUCACCGAGCACUGACUCCUACCUG